UCUCUCGCUCUCUCUCUCUCUCUGGAAAUUGUCGCCAUUGUUGCAGGGAAUCUCUUGCUCUUUAGAAGCUCUUCAAUUUUUCUUUUUCAGAAGGCCGGCUUUUGAAUAAUCUAUCGCUCUAAAGGAAAAGUUUUUGAGAUUGGAAUAGUAUUUCAAAGCUAGAUUCAGAUGGAUUCUUCGCAGUCACACCAGAGAAGAGGGGGUUUGGUUUCGUUAUCGCCAUCACAGACUCCGCGGUCAAGUGAUAAAGCAGUUCGAGAUCUGCGAUCAGGUGAAUCAAAUUCGAGUAGCAAACAUGAUAAAGAAAAGGGCGUCAAUGUACAAGUCAUCGUGCGUUGCAGGCCAUUGAGUGAAGAUGAGUUGAGAUUGCAUACUCCUGUGGUGGUCUCUUGUAAUGAGGGUAAAAGGGAAGUUUCAGCUAUUCAGAAUAUUGCUAACAAGCAGAUUGAUAGAACCUUUCUAUUUGACAAGGUUUUUGGUCCAACAUCCCAACAAAAACACUUGUAUGACCUGGCAGUGUCUCCAAUUGUGUAUGAAGUUCUUGAGGGUUAUAACUGCACCAUCUUUGCCUAUGGUCAGACAGGGACAGGGAAGACGUACACAAUGGAAGGAGGAGCCAGGAAGAAGAAUGGGGAAUUUCCCAGUGAUGCCGGUGUCAUCCCUAGAGCAGUUAAACAAAUUUUUGACAUAUUAGAAGCUCAAAAUGCUGAGUAUAGCAUGAAAGUUACAUUUUUAGAACUGUACAAUGAGGAAAUAACAGAUCUUUUGGCCCUGGAGGAAACUUCAAAAUUUAUAGAUGACAAAUCUAAGAAACCUAUAGCUCUUAUGGAAGAUGGAAAAGGGGGUGUUUUUGUAAGAGGCUUGGAAGAAGAGAUAGUUUAUACUGCAAAUGAAAUUUACAAAAUCUUGGAGAAGGGUUCUGCGAAAAGGCGUACAGCAGAAACUUUACUUAACAAGCAAAGUAGCCGUUCUCACUCAAUAUUUUCCAUCACCAUCCACAUUAAAGAAUUUACUCCUGAGGGUGAAGAGAUGAUCAAAUGUGGAAAGCUGAAUCUUGUUGACCUUGCUGGUUCAGAAAAUAUUUCACGUUCUGGUGCACGAGAGGGCAGAGCAAGGGAGGCAGGGGAGAUUAAUAAGAGCUUGCUUACACUUGGUCGUGUGAUCAAUGCUCUUGUUGAGCAUUCUGGUCAUGUACCAUACAGGGAUAGCAAACUAACAAGACUGUUGAGGGAUUCAUUGGGAGGGAAAACAAAGACAUGUAUAAUCGCCACUAUAUCGCCCUCUAUUCAUUGUCUGGAAGAAACACUUAGCACUCUAGAUUAUGCACAUCGUGCCAAGAAUAUCAAGAACAGACCAGAGAUCAAUCAGAAGAUGAUGAAAUCUGCAAUGAUAAAGGAUCUGUACUCUGAAAUUGACCGGCUGAAACAAGAGGUAUAUGCUGCAAGAGAAAAAAAUGGAAUUUAUAUACCACGAGAUCGCUAUCUUCAAGAUGAAGCUGAAAAGAAGGCAAUGGCUGAAAAAAUAGAGCGCAUGGAACUCGAAUCAGAAUCCAAGGACAAGCAAAUAAUGGAGCUUCAGGAACUCUACAAUUCUCAGCUACUAUUGACAGCAGAAUUAAGUGAGAAACUUGGAAAAACUGAGAAAAAGCUCGAGGAAACUGAAAAUUCAUUGUUUGAUCUCGAAGAAAAACACAAACAGGCAAAUGCAACAAUAAAAGAGAAGGAGUUUUUGAUAUCUAAUCUCCUCAAAUCUGGUAAGCUAAGUAAUGGUUUCCAUUCUCCUAGUUUCAAUAUUUAUGUGCUGAAUUUGUCAUGUGAUCAGGAUUUGAUACAUUCACCCAUUGGAGUUGAGAACUUCCCCUAAUAAUUUCCUUGAAAUGAUUCAUUUUUUUAUGGGUUUAUACAGUUCGACUACAAGUCCUUUAAAUGUUAAUACAAUUGGUUAGCUUAACAAUGACCUUUAUUCAUCUUUCAGAGAAAGCUCUUGUUGAACGUGCAUUUGAGCUUCAAGCAGAACUAGAAAAUGCUGCAUCAGAUAUAUCUAGUUUAUUUGCCAAAAUUGGUUUGUUUUAGUUUGAAAGUUGACUUAGUUUUGGGGUAUCAUCUUUCACAAACUAUUUUUAGCUGAUAAUGGUUGGUUUCCAGAGCGGAAAGAUAAAAUUGAAGAUGGAAACAGAGUACUCAUUCAGAAAUUUCAGUCCCAAUUGACCCAGCAGCUUGAGGUUUUGCAUAGGGUUGUUGCAUCUUCUGUGACACAACAGGAGCAGCAACUGAAAGACAUGGAGAAAGACAUGCAGUCUUUCGUGUCAACAAAGGCUGAGGCUACCGAAGAACUUCGAGGAAGGGUUGGAAAACUGAAAGCGAUGUAUGGUUCUGGUAUCCAAGCAUUGAAUGGAAUGGCUAAGGAGCUUGAGGGAAAUUCUCGGUCAACUUUUGGUAGUCUAAACUCUGAAGUUUCCAAGCAUUCACAUGCUCUUGAGGGUCUUUUUCAAGGAAUUGCUUCGGAAGCUGAUGCAUUGUUAAAUGGUCUCCAAAGUAGUCUUCAUUCGCAAGAGGAGAAGCUAACUGUGUUUGCAAAACAGCAGCGUGAGGCACAUUCCAGAGCAGUCCAAACUGCACGAUCAGUUUCUAAGUUAACACUGAACUUCUUCAAGACCCUAGACAUGCAUGCGUCCAACCUGACCCAAAUUGUGGAAGAAGCACAAACAGUCAAUGAUCAGAAAUUGUCUGAACUAGAAAAGAAGUUUGAGGAGUGUGCUGCUGUUGAAGAAAGGCAAUUGUUGGAUAAAGUAGCAGAGCUGCUUGCAAAUUCAAAUGCAAGAAAGAAAAAAUUGGUCCAAAUGGCAGUGCAUGAUCUCCGGCAAAGUGCAAACAGCAGAACCAACAAACUACAGCAAGAAAUGUCAACCAUGCAGGAUUCCACAUCUUCUGUUGUAGCUGAAUGGACAGUUCAUAUGGACAAAACAGAAGCCAACUAUCUUGAGGACACUUCUGCAGUGGAGAGUGGAAAGAAGGAACUGGAGGAUAUUCUUCAUAACUGUUUGAACAAGGCAAGAAUGGGUGCACAACAGUGGAGGAACGCUCAAGAGUCCCUGGUCAACCUAGAAAAGGGCAAUGUCGCUUCUGUGAAUUCCAUUGUUAGGUAUGCCACUUCCUAUGAGUGUAUUUUGGCUUCUCAUUCAAAAUCACUAACUUAAUUCCUUGUGUCACUUUAGUGGAGGAAUGGAGGCCAAUCAAAUCUUAUGCACACGAUUUUCAUCUGCUGUAUCAGCUGCCCUUGAAGACGUAGAUGUUGCAAACAAUGAUUUGCUCUCGUCAAUUGAUUAUUCAUUAAAACUUGACCAUGAUGCUUGUGGAAAUAUCAAUUCCUUGAUUUCUCCUUGUUGUGAAGAUCUGAGGGAAUUGAAGGGUGGUCAUUACCAUAAGAUUGUAGAAAUUACAGACAAUACUGGGAAAUGUCUUCAGGAUGAAUAUGUGGUAAGACUUAAGUAGUACCAUUGCAUGCAAACAAAUUUUACUCAUUGUUGUAUACUCAUUUGAUCACAUUCUCUUGUGAUUGUGGUGAUUCCACAUGUUAUUUCCUUCUGCAACAUCUGGAAUUUAGAGGAAAACAUAUCCCGUAAAACUUUUAAAUGUCAACAAACUGGGAACAUCGAUACAACCAAUUAUAAAGCAAAAUGCUAUUUCUCUAAAAGCACUUGCAAUACCAAAACGCCGAAUAGAGUUUGCUUUCUGAAUGCAUCUACUGUGUGAGCAAACUAAUCUUUUUAAUGCUACAACUCAUAGGUGGACGAACCAUCUUGUUCAACACCAAGAAAGAGGUCGUUCAAUCUGCCAAGUGUUGCAUCAAUCGAGGAACUGAGAACUCCGGCUUUUGAGGAAUUGUUAAAAUCAUUCUGGGAUACAAAGUAUGCAAAGCAAGCAAAUGGAGAUAUAAAACAUUUGGCUGCAGCAUAUGAAGCUUUGAGAGACUCUAGAGUUCCUCUCACUGCUAUUAACUAGAGUAAAAUGGAACACGGCAGAUAGAAGCAGUAAGAAAAGGUUGUGUACAGAAUACAUGGGGGUGUGGAGUAUGAGAUUUUCUCUUGCCUAUCUUUAUUCAUUGAUUGUUUGCUUAAAGAAAGUUCAUUGUGGAUGUAGAAAUAUAUGAUAGAUUCUUUCAUGUUUUAUUUUGUUCAAUGAGACUGCUCUCUCGAAAACGGUUAUUCAUAACUGAAGAGGGCUCUCUUUUAAUUAGAAAAC
rnacentral:misc_RNA from 1 species